AUUGAACGCCGGUUGCAGGCUUAUCACAUGCAAGUCGAGCGGAAACGAUCCUAGCUUGCUAGGAGGCGUCGAGCGGCGGACGGGUGAGUAAUGCAUAGGAAUCUACCCAGUCGUGGGGGAUAACCUGGGGAAACCCAGGCUAAUACCGCAUACGUCCUACGGGAGAAAGCGGGGGCUCUUCGGACCUCGCGCGAUUGGAUGAGCCUAUGUCGGAUUAGCUGGUUGGUGAGGUAACGGCUCACCAAGGCGACGAUCCGUAGCUGGUCUGAGAGGAUGAUCAGCCACAUCGGGACUGAGACACGGCCCGAACUCCUACGGGAGGCAGCAGUGGGGAAUAUUGGACAAUGGGCGCAAGCCUGAUCCAGCCAUGCCGCGUGUGUGAAGAAGGCCUUCGGGUUGUGAAGCACUUUCAGCGAGGAAGAACGCCUUGGGGUUAAUACCCCCGAGGGAAGACAUCACUCGCAGAAGAAGCACCGGCUAACUCCGUGCCAGCAGCCGCGGUAAUACGGAGGGUGCAAGCGUUAAUCGGAAUUACUGGGCGUAAAGCGCGCGUAGGUGGUCGCUCACGCCGGGUGUGAAAGCCCCGGGCUCAACCUGGGAAUGGCAUCCGGAACGGAGCGACUAGAGUGCAGGAGAGGAAGGUGGAAUUCCCGGUGUAGCGGUGAAAUGCGUAGAGAUCGGGAGGAAUACCAGUGGCGAAGGCGGCCUUCUGGACUGACACUGACACUGAGGUGCGAAAGCGUGGGUAGCAAACAGGAUUAGAUACCCUGGUAGUCCACGCCGUAAACGAUGUCGACUAGCCGUUGGGUCCCUCGCGGACUUAGUGGCGCAGUUAACGCGAUAAGUCGACCGCCUGGGGAGUACGGCCGCAGGGUUAAAACUCAAAUGAAUUGACGGGGGCCCGCACAAG
rnacentral:rRNA from 1 species